UUAAGGUUUAGGUCCCCGUACGGGCCAAGUACGGUGGUGGACUGGUAGUGCCCUUGAGUGCCUUGAGCAAGGCACAGAUCGGCCAACUGCUCGGGGUGCCUGUCCAUGGGGCAGCCCUGAACUCUGACAUCUCUCCAUUAGUGCAUGUAUAGGUCCUGAGCACGUGUGUGUAUUUGGGUCUGUGGAUGUUGUGUGUAACUGUAACAACAGAGUGUAAAAAUUGAAUUGAUAAAGUAUGUAUUCAACUUCUUGUAAUCCUUCCAGUGCUGGUCAGACAAACUGCUGGGCAUUACUCAACCGGAGCAGUGUUUGUGUGUGGGGGCGUGUCUGUGUGUGUGAGUGCUGGAGGUGUUGGAUGGAUUGUAUUUACAUGGUCAACAAGUUGACAUGAGAAGCUGGGUUACUUUAGAUUGCUUGUGAUAAGAUGUCAACCACAACAUCCUGCCAGGUACUUUCGCUACUUUACCACUGCCUCAUCUCAGGUCCUUUGGCGGUGUGUUUUUCUAACUCCUUUCCGUUGAGCACACAGCAGCAUUGUGAGUGUAGAGACUAUAAAAACACAGCUUGCUGCCUCAACUUCAAGAAUGAUAUUCUUGGGGUUGAUUACUGGACUCUACUUCCUCUCUAACAUGCUCUGGGGAGGCGUCUGCCGCACAGUUGUCAAGAGACAGAAGAAGUUAACACUGAGGAAUCAGGCUGAAGAAAAUGGACUAGAGGGUAACGCGGUGGAAAAUGGACAUGCCAACAUCAGCACUGGCAAAAACAAAGAAGACGGGGACGAUGAGAGCACUAUUUAAGGUGUUUGGGGAAGGCAAGACCUCAACCCUCAGUUGAAGCUCCAGCGGGACUCGGAGAGCCCCACACCCGGUUGCAGCGGCCCAUCCCCCGGCCAUGACCAGAGCUUGCUUUGCUGAUGUUGUGCCCUCAUUUUGCAUCCCUGCCAAGAAUUGCACCCGCUUGGGCAGCAACAAUAAUUUCUGCUGAGAAUUACAUCCACCUCAUGGGCAGCAACAAUAAUUUCUGCCGAAUAAUGUGUCUCUUAACCCUCAUUGCUAUCCGAGAAUUGCAUCCAGGUAGCAAGGAAAUUAUAAACAGACAACAGUCUGAUAAAACAUUGACGUCUCUAAACGUUCUAAAAUUAUAAUCAUGCUUGAUGAACAUGACAAAUAAAUGUAUAUAGCCUAGUUUUUAAACAGUAGCUACUUUGCCUUAUAAAAUCAUUAUUUUCCCUUGUGAAUGCAAGUCUCAGCAGGGAUGUGGAACUUGGCACGUGUUAACCCUCUGAAGAUGGUCCAUCUGCGGCUGCAGGACCUGGAGCUCACCGCCAGUGUUUCAGUUUGACUGUU